AUUGAACGCUGGCGGCAGGCUUAACACAUGCAAGUCGAGCGGAGAUGAGGUGCUUGCACCUUAUCUUAGCGGCGGACGGGUGAGUAAUGCUUAGGAAUCUGCCUAUUAGUGGGGGACAACAUUCCGAAAGGAAUGCUAAUACCGCAUACGCCCUACGGGGGAAAGCAGGGGAUCUUCGGACCUUGCGCUAAUAGAUGAGCCUCAGUCGGAUUAGCUAGUUGGUGGGGUAAAGGCCUACCAAGGCGACGAUCUGUAGCGGGUCUGAGAGGAUGAUCCGCCACACUGGGACUGAGACACGGCCCAGACUCCUACGGGAGGCAGCAGUGGGGAAUAUUGGACAAUGGGCGGAAGCCUGAUCCAGCCAUGCCGCGUGUGUGAAGAAGGCCUUUUGGUUGUAAAGCACUUUAAGCGAGGAGGAGGCUACCUGGAUUAAUACUCUAGGAUAGUGGACGUCACUCGCAGAAUAAGCACCGGCUAACUCUGUGUCAGCCGCCGCAGUAAGAC
rnacentral:rRNA from 1 species